rnacentral:rRNA from 1 species
ACGGCUCAGUAACACGUGGCUAACCUGCCCUUGGGAUAGGAACAACCCCGGGAAACUGGGGCUAAUUCCCAAUAGGCGGAGAACUCUGGAAUGGGUCUCCACCAGAAAGGGCGCUUAGAUCAUGCUUCUAGGCGUCGCCCAAGGAUGGGGCCGCGACCGAUCAGGUUGUUGGUGAGGUAAUGGCCCACCAAGCCUAUAACCGGUGCGGGCCGUGAGAGCGGGAGCCCGGAGAUGGGCACUGAGACAAGGGCCCAGGUCCUACGGGGCGCAGCAGUCGCGAAACCUUUGCAAUACACGAAAGUGUGACAGGGUCAUCCCGAGUGCCGACCGCUGAGGUUGGCUUUUACCCAGUCUAGAAAGCUGGGGGAAUAAGGAGAGGGCAAGUCUGGUGUCAGCCGCCGCGGUAAUACCAGCUCUCCGAGUGGUGUGGACGUUUAUUGGGCCUAAAGCAUCCGUAGCUGGCUGAACAAGUCCCCUGUUAAACCCACCGAUUUAAUCGUUGGUCUGCGGGGGAUACUGCUCGGCUAGGGGACGAGAGAGGCAGACGGUAUUCCCGGGGUAGGGGUGAAAUCCUAUAAUCCCGGGAAGACCACCAGUGGCGAAGGCUGUCUGCUAGAACGCGCCCGACGGUGAGGGAUGAAAGCUGGGGGAGCGAACCGGAUUAGAUACCCGGGUAGUCCCAGCUGUAAACGAUGCAGGCUAGGUGUUUGGACGGCCACGUGCCGUUCUAGUGCCGCAGGGAAGCUGUUAAGCCUGCCGCCUGGGGAGUACGAUCGCAAGGUUGAAACUUAAAGGAAUUGGCGGGGGAGCACAAUCGAAUUCCCGCGGCCGCCAUGGCGGCCGGAGCAU